rnacentral:tRNA from 1 species
UAAUGUGUGGUUUAAGUAAAAACAUAAACUUUGUAAGUUUACAUUACAAAAA